rnacentral:lncRNA from 1 species
AUAGGAAAAAAUUUAAAAACUUUUUUGAAAAACAAAAAUAAAACCCUGAAAACUUGAAAAGAAAUUCUGAAGAUUUUGAAAAAAAAAAAAAACACUGAAAACUCUAAAGAAAUCUGGAAAAUUUGAAAAAAAAAUGGAAAAAAAAAAAAACUUUUUUGAAAAACAAAAAUAAAACCCUGAAAACUUGAAAAGAAAUUCUGAAAAUUUUGAAAAAAAACACUGAAAGCUCUAAAGAAAUCUGGAAAAUUUGAAAAAAAAAAAAUGGAAAAAAUAAAAAAAAAAACUUUUUUGAAAAACAAAAAUAAAACCCUGAAAACUUGAAAAGAAAUUAUGAAAAUUUGAAAAAAAAAUUUUGGAGUGGAAAAUUUGAAAAUAAAAUGAUUCUAUUAAUCUUCACUUCCAGUUGUCUGUUUUCAGUUUCAAUUCAGAUUUUUGAGUUUUCACUGCUGAGCAGAGCCUAAUUUUACAUGGGGGCGGCUAUGAGCUUUUGAGCAUUUUUUUCACAUUUUCAAGAUUUAUUUAGAGUUUUUAUCUUUUUUUUUUUUUUCCAAAUAAAUUCAAUUUUUUUUAGUUACACUGUCUCGUUUAGUAUUUUCGUUUAGGCUGAUCCUGAUUCGACCCGUCAAAAGAUUUGAACGAACUGCCAAACGUCCGGCCGACAGCAUCACAGCUGAAGCCCGUUUGCGAUGAAGAUGGUCUCCUCAGCAGAAUUUGGUCUGUUGCUGCGGGGAACUGCCCCGCGCACAGUCACCGCCAUCCGCGCAGAGAAGAUGAGCAGAUCGAUGCCGUCCAUUUGUCAGCGCCAUGACCGCUCUGAGUAACAAACUUUUGAGCCUGUCGUGCCUCCCGGUGUGUUGAAAUGUUUUUAGGAAAGACAUUGAACCCUGCAUUGCUCCUGGUGGUCGUGCGUUGGCACCAUCAGUGUGUGGGACGGUCACUAAAGCGCUCUGGGCCUUCGAUAAUGAGAUAAGUGUUCACCAUUUACUCUGAUUUCUGCAGAGCAGCUGUAGUUUAUAAGAAACUCAUCU